AACGCUAGCUACAGGCUUAACACAUGCAAGUCGAGGGGCAGCAUUUUUCUAGCAAUAGAAAAGAUGGCGACCGGCGCACGGGUGAGUAACACGUAUCCAACCUACCCACUACUCUUGGAUAGCCUUCUGAAAAGGAGAUUAAUACAAGAUAGCGUGAUGAGUUUUCAUGAACACAUCACUAAAGGUUUACCGGUAAUGGAUGGGGAUGCGUUCCAUUAGUUAGUUGGCGGGGUAACGGCCCACCAAGACAUCGAUGGAUAGGGGUUCUGAGAGGAAGGUCCCCCACAUUGGAACUGAGACACGGUCCAAACUCCUACGGGAGGCAGCAGUGAGGAAUAUUGGUCAAUGGACGAGAGUCUGAACCAGCCAAGUAGCGUGAAGGAUGAAGGUCCUACGGAUUGUAAACUUCUUUUACAAGGGAAUAAAGUCACCCACGUGUUGGGUGUUUGUAUGUACCUUGCGAAUAAGGAUCGGCUAACUCCGUGCCAGCAGCCGCGGUAAUACGGAGGAUCCGAGCGUUAUCCGGAUUUAUUGGGUUUAAAGGGAGCGUAGAUGGGCUUUUAAGUCAGUCUGUGAAAGUUUGCGGCUCAACCGUAAAAUUGCAGUUGAUACUGGAAGUCUUGAGUACAGUUGAGGUAGGCGGAAUUCGUGGUGUAGCGGUGAAAUGCUUAGAUAUCACGAAGAACUCCGAUUG
rnacentral:rRNA from 1 species